UGUCGGCAGGGAGACCCCGGACGGCCAA
rnacentral:sRNA from 1 species